rnacentral:rRNA from 1 species
UCUUAGUGGCGGACGGGUGAGUAACGCGUGGGUAACCUGCCUUAUACAGGGGGAUAACACUUAGAAAUAGGUGCUAAUACCGCAUAAGCGCACGGGGCUGCAUGGCCCAGUGUGAAAAACUCCGGUGGUAUAAGAUGGACCCGCGUCUGAUUAGCUUGUUGGCGGGGUAACGGCCCACCAAGGCGACGAUCAGUAGUCGGCCUGAGAGGGUGGACGGCCACAUUGGGACUGAGACACGGCCCAAACUCCUACGGGAGGCAGCAG